AGUUCUGGCGUGUACUUGGUCGGAUGUGCUACCCGAGUCUUCCUCCUCUGCCCUGUGAGCUCCCUGUAGCCUCUGGCUUCUACCUGUCCAUGGUCAGCCCCGAAUAUUGACCAUGAACCCUGUCCACCAUCAAGCUACAAUCAAACACCAAGACACGGCAGGAGGUUAAGGCUGGAGAACGACCUUGCAAAGGAGCAGACCUCUCCGUUCAUGCCUGUAAUACAAGGGUCGCAUGUAACCUAUACUGGCCAUAUCCUUCUGUGGCCAGUGAUGGAUGCCUUUGAACUCCUGCUGUGGUUUCUCCAGUUUGUGAUGACAAGUGCACACCACACCCGGCUUCCACAUUUGUUUUCUGCAACAGCCAUAGGUUUCUUUAUGUCUCCAGCUCUUUUGACACCCAGAGAGCUUUCUUGAGAAGACCCUUUCGUGCAGGGGAAGAUGGCAGCAGCAGGACCUGUCUCUCAGCUUCCGGAACCUUCACCAUGACCUCAGGCUGGAAUUGGGAUCCGUUCCCAGGAGCAAUUAUCUCUGACACAUUAUUUUGUGUAAAAUCACUUUUCGCUGAUAAAGCUGAAAUAAAAAGGGGUCCAUUA